rnacentral:rRNA from 1 species
AACGAACGCUGGCGGCAUGCCUAACACAUGCAAGUCGAACGAGACCUUCGGGUCUAGUGGCGCACGGGUGCGUAACGCGUGGGAACCUGCCCUUAGGCUCGGAAUAACUCCCCGAAAGGGGUGCUAAUACCGGAUAAUGUCUUCGGACCAAAGAUUUAUCGCCUUUGGAUGGGCCCGCGUUGGAUUAGCUAGUUGGUAGGGUAAAAGCCUACCAAGGCGACGAUCCAUAGCUGGUCUGAGAGGAUGAUCAGCCACACUGGGACUGAGACACGGCCCAGACUCCUACGGGAGGCAGCGGUAGGGAAUAUUGGACAAUGGGCGAAGGCCUGAUCCAGCAAUGCCGCGUGAGUGAUGAAGGCCUUAGGGUUGUAAAGCUCUUUUACACGGGAUGAUAAUGACAGUACCGGGAGAAUAAGCUCCGGCUAACUCCGUG